rnacentral:rRNA from 1 species
GACGAACGCUGGCGGCGUGCUUAACACAUGCAAGUCGAACGGAAAGGCCCUGCUUUUGUGGGGUGCUCGAGUGGCGAACGGGUGAGUAACACGUGAGUAACCUGCCCUUGACUUUGGGAUAACUUCAGGAAACUGGGGCUAAUACCGGAUAGGAGCUCCUGCUGCAUGGUGGGGGUUGGAAAGUUUCGGCGGUUGGGGAUGGACUCGCGGCUUAUCAGCUUGUUGGUGGGGUAGUGGCUUACCAAGGCUUUGACGGGUAGCCGGCCUGAGAGGGUGACCGGCCACCUUGGGACUACGAUAGGGCCCAGACUCCUACGGGAGGCAGCAGUGGGGAAUAUUGCACAAUGGGCGGAAGCCUGAUGCAGCAACGCCGCGUGCGGGAUGACGGCCUUCGGGUUGUAAACCGCUUUCGCCUGUGACGAAGCGUGAGUGACGGUAAUGGGUAAAGAAGCACCGGCUAACUACGUG